AAACGUUGGGCUCGGGUUUUGGGCCUCUUGUUUGAGUUAUCGAGUAAUGGGUUGUAGUAUCUGAAAUGGGCUUAGCCCAAUCUAUCAUCAUAGCCCAAAAGUUUGAGUUGUAAUUCCAAAAUUGGCAUCACAAUUCAAACAAUCUCCACCUUGAUGCCAAUGACUCAAACUGAACUAGAAAUUAACAAAUAAUAAAACCAACAAUUCCAUCCACUUGUUUUAUUUGAUUUCAUAGCCUACAGCAUCAAGAUGGAUACACAGGUCCCUGCAAAAUCACAAAGGAUUAC
rnacentral:lncRNA from 1 species